UAUUGCACAAUGGGGGCAAGCCUGAUGCAGCCAUGCCGCGUGUAUGAAGAAGGCCUUCGGGGUGUAAAGUACUUUCAGCCCCGAGGAAGGGGGUAUCGUUAACACCGGUAUUGUUUGACGUUACCGACAGAAUAAGCACCGGCUAACUCCGUGCCAGCAGCCGCGGUAAUACGGAGGGUGCGAGCGUUAAUCGGAAUUACUGGGCGUAAAGCGCAUGCAGGUGGUUUGUUAAGUCAGGUGUGAAAGCCCCGGGCUUAACCUGGGAAUUGCAUUUGAAACUGGCUGGCUAGAGUACUGUAGAGGGGGGUAGAAUUUCAGGUGUAGCGGUGAAAUGCGUAGAUAUGUGAAGGAAUACCGGUGGCGAAGGCAGCCCCCUGGGCUGAUACUGACACUCAGAUACGAAA
rnacentral:rRNA from 1 species